rnacentral:rRNA from 1 species
GGANUUACUGGGCGUAAAGCGAGCGCAGACGGUUUGUUAAGCAGGAUGUGAAAUCCCCGGGCUCAACCUGGGAACUGCGUUNUGAACUGGCAAGCUAGAGUGUGUCAGAGGGGGGUAGAAUUCCACGUGUAGCAGUGAAAUGCGUAGAGAUGUGGAGGAAUACCGAUGGCGAAGGCAGCCCCCUGGGAUAACACUGACGUUCAUGCUCGAAAGCGUGGGUAGCAAACAGGAUUAGAUACCCUGGUAGUCCACGCCCUAAACGAUGUCAAUUAGCUGUUGGGCAACUUGAUUGCUUAGUAGCGUAGCUAACGCGUGAAAUUGACCGCCUGGGGAGUACGGUCGCAAGAUUAAAACUCAAAGGAAUUGACGGGGACCCGCACAAGCGGUGGAUGAUGUGGAUUAAUUCGAUGCAACGCGAAGAACCUUACCUGGUCUCGACAUGUACGGAAUCUCUCAGAGACGGGAGAGUGCCUUCGGGAGCCGUAACACAGGUGCUGCAUGGCUGUCGUCAGCUCGUGUCGUGAGAUGUUGGGUUAAGUCCCGCAACGAGCGCAACCCUUGUCAUUAGUUGCCAUCAUUAAGUUGGGCACUCUAAUGAGACUGCCGGUGACAAACCGGAGGAAGGUGGGGAUGACGUCAAGUCCUCAUGGCCCUUAUGACCAGGGCUUCACACGUCAUACAAUGGUCGGUACAGAGGGUCGCCAAGCCGCGAGGUGGAGCCAAUCUCACAAAACCGAUCGUAGUCCGGAUUGCACUCUGCAACUCGAGUGCAUGAAGUCGGAAUCGCUAGUAAUCGCAGGUCAGCAUACUGCGGUGAAUACGUUCCCGGGUCUUGUACACACCGCCCGUCACACCAUGGGAGUGGGGGAUACCAGAAGUNGG